rnacentral:lncRNA from 10 species
AGCAAAAAAAAAAAAAAAAAAAAAAAACAUGUCAAACUAAUAAUGAGAAUCAUGGAAUUUCCUGAACUGAGGAGAACAUCGUUUAGGACACAAAAGUAAGAAUUUACUUUUUAGAAACGAAAACACCUUCUCAACAAACAAAUUCAGGACCACGCGGUGGCUCACGCCUGUAAUCUGAGCUCUUUAGGAGCUUGAGGUAGGAGGAUUGCUUGAAGCCAGUUCAAGAUCACCCUGCACAACAUGGCAAGACCUCGUCUCUACAAAAUAAGAAAAAAAAAAAUUAGCCCAAGUGUGGUGGUGCCACCUGUAGUUCCAGCUACUCAAGAGGCUAAGGUGGGAGGAUUGUUUGAGCCCAGGAAUUUG